AACCCAUUGUUACAUUAUUAGACGGAAAGACCCCAAGAGCUUUUUUUGUGUUAGAUUUGUUUGGGGUAAAUGUAGAUUAUUCAUUUAUUUUUAGAUCCUUCGUGGAUAAAGGAUAAAGUUACCUUGGGGAUAACUGAGUAAAGGGCAGGGAGAGGUCCUAUUGAUCUGUUUAUUACUACCUCGAUGUUGGCUUGUUGAACCUUUUCGGUGUAGAGGCUGGAAAAGGAAGUCUGUUCGACUUUUAAAUCUUCAUGAGUUGAGUUAAGACCGGUGUAAGCCAGGUUGGUUCUUAUCUAUAAUUGGUUCUAGUUAGUACGAAAGGAUUAUUAGGAUACAGUGUUUCUGUACACAUAGGAAUAGAAAGUAUACA
rnacentral:rRNA from 1 species